AUUUGUUUAUAGUAAUGUGCUCUAGUGGUGCGCUUUGUUGGUGGCUAUCUUUACUCUUGAGAUAGACAGGGGUGCAUUUCUGAUUUGAAUGUGUUCCUUGAUGCUAUGAAUAACUUGAUGUCUAUCUGAUUAUGUGUCGAUGCUAAAGACAGUGGAACACGUCCAUGUUGUUAGAUUCCUAAUGUGGAGUAAAGGUGAUCUUGUGGAUAUCUCUAAUGAUAAAGCUCCACGGUACACCAUGCAUUAUGACGAAUUGAGAACAUCAAAUAUUUUUGUUUUUGGGACUUGUGAUAAAUGCUAG
rnacentral:lncRNA from 1 species